rnacentral:rRNA from 1 species
UACGUAGGGGGCUAGCGUUGUCCGGAAUCAUUGGGCGUAAAGAGCGUGUAGGCGGUCCGGUAAGUCCGCUGUGAAAGUCGGGGGCUCAACCCUCGAAUGCCGGUGGAUACUGUCGGGCUAGAGUGCGGAAGAGGCGAGUGGAAUUCCUGGUGUAGCGGUGAAAUGCGCAGAUAUCAGGAGGAACACCUAUUGCGAAGGCAGCUCGCUGGGACGUCACUGACGCUGAGACGCGAAAGCAUGGGGAGCGAACAGG